GUCUCCAUGGUGUACAAGUCAGCGUGGUGUUGUGAUUAUGGAUGGCCAGGUUGCCAGCAAGAAUGGCAAGAAACAACCAUGCAGGGAACUAUCUUACCCGAUAGUAUGGGUGGGAGAAAGUAUUCCUCUAUGUGGCUUUCACCAGUCCAAUCAUGUUGGAUCAGUGACUGCUUCAAGGAAGGCAGGAAGAAAGGAAGCACGUACCAGAUCACUUGCGGCGGUUGAUACCCGGGAGCAGGUUACAGCGAGGUGGGCG